rnacentral:rRNA from 1 species
GAUUAUCAACUUUCGAUGGUAGGAUAGAGGCCUACCAUGGUGGUAACGGGUAACGGGGUGUUAGGGCACGACACCGGAGAGGGAGCUGAGAAACGGCUACCACAUCCAAGGAUGGCAGCAGGCGCGCAAAUUACCCAAUCCCGACACGGGGAGGUAGUGACAAUAAAUAACAAUACGGGGUUCUUUCGGAUUUCGUAAUUGGAAUGAGUACAAUUUAAAUCUCUUAACGAGGAACAAUUGGAGGGCAAGUCUGGUGCCAGCAGCCGCGGUAAUUCCAGCUCCAAUAGCGUAUAUUAAAGUUGCUGCAGUUAAAAAGCUCGUAGUUGAAUUUCGGGACUAAUAUGUCGGUCGUGCCUAGGUACGUACUGGCUUAUUGGUUUCUCCUUUCUGAAGAACCAUGAUGUCAUUUAUUUGGUGUCGUGGGGAAUCAGGACUGUUACUUUGAAAAAAUUAGAGUGUUUAAAGCAGGCUCACGCUUGAAUACAUUAGCAUGGAAUAAUGAAAUAGGACGUUUGAUUCUAUUUUGUUGGUUUCUAGGAUCGACGUAAUGAUUAAUAGGGAUAGUUGGGGGCAUUAGUAUUCAAUUGUCAGAGGUGAAAUUCUUGGAUUUAUUGAAGACUAACUACUGCGAAAGCAUUUGCCAAGGAUGUUUUCAUUAAUCAAGAACGAAAGUUAGGGGAUCGAAGACGAUCAGAUACCGUCGUAGUCUUAACCAUAAACUAUGCCGACUAGGGAUCGGAUGAUGUUAAUUUUUUAAUGACGCAUUCGGCGCCUUACGGGAAACCAAAGUGUUUGGGUU